rnacentral:rRNA from 1 species
CGGCCGCCGCGGUAAUACGUAGGGUGCAAGCGUUAAUCGGAAUUACUGGGCGUAAAGCGUGCGCAGGCGGUUAUAUAAGACAGAUGUGAAAUCCCCGGGCUCAACCUGGGAACUGCAUUUGUGACUGUAUAGCUAGAGUACGGCAGAGGGGGAUGGAAUUCCGCGUGUAGCAGUGAAAUGCGUAGAUAUGCGGAGGAACACCGAUGGCGAAGGCAAUCCCCUGGGCCUGUACUGACGCUCAUGCACGAAAGCGUGGGGAGCAAACAGGAUUAGAUACCCCCGUAGUCCCUGUCUCUUAUAC